UUACGCAAAAGCGGUAGUGUAUGUAGAAUACUUUUCGACACCAAUAUGGCUAGACCCCCAGGGGGUACUGUCGAAAACGCUUCGUUCGUAGCCAAGAGGUAUGUCGAUACAUUACCGCAAAGUCGACAGCGUAGAUGCGAGCUGCUGUUCGUAGCACCUUAUUCCGUCAUAUUGUCUCUGGAUUAAAUAUAUUCCUAAUGUCACUUUUAUAAACAAAUAAAAGUUAAAACUUUACAAUAUUAUUGCAAAUUUGCAAUUGGAAGCUGCAAAAGGGACAUUAGAAUGUCAGCAAGGUCGGAACAAUUUUCGAUUUAAGUGGAAUUUACGGAAGGAUUAGGAACCUCACAACUAAUCUGCAAAAUGAAGAAGCAACAUAUUUUGUUACCGCUUAGAAGAAACAAUA